CCGCCCCGUCCCCCGCCGCUCGUCCCCGCCGCGGCCGCGCCGCCUGCAGCAGCAGCAGCUGCUCCUCCCUGGCGGCUGCCCCCCGCGGGUCCCUCACUGGCUGCGGGAGACUCGGAGAUAGAGGGAGGACACUGCCGUGCCGCCCGCACCAGAGACCUUCGUCUCGCCCUGUCGGUCCUCACCCUCUGGUAGGAACAUGGGUAAGUCAUCCUUUCCCCCGUCAUCGCCUGAC
rnacentral:lncRNA from 1 species